rnacentral:tRNA from 2 species
GCGCCCAUAGCUCAGUGGAUAGAGUACCGCCCUCCGAAGGCGGGGGUCGCACGUUCGAAUCGUGCUGGGCGCGCCA